AUGGCAGUUGAAAAGACACUUCUAUGUGGGAACGCACCCAAAGCAUGCCAACUUUCCCACCUCCUACCAAAACCCCACUCCCCUAGAUGGCAAAGGGAGUGGAGUUUCGUGGGCUAUUAUGGGAGGGGGAAGCCUGAAGAAGGAAGAUCAUCAAAUGGGCUUAACCCGAGGAGCAACUGGGCCCAGCUAUUAUAUCAGAUCAGGCCUAGUACAAUCAAGAUAGUCUAGUUAGUGAAGCUGAGGAAGGCAACCUGCCCAAGGAUUAACUCCUUGGGAGACUUGAGACAAACUACCAAGGCCAUAGGAUUAAAAGCUAGGGAAGGAGAGAGAGACAUGAAAGUAAUGAGAGGAGGAAGCUUCCAGAUAAAGCACUUAUCACCUCCACAUUCAAUGCAGUGUACCAACUCAGCCUGUCAUAUUAAUGGCAAAAUGACCCCUAAAUAGUGCUCACAUAGCCUACAUCCUACUUUACCACCACCAACAAAGCAGUGAUGAGAUAAGUAUCCAAGGAAGAAUCAACAACCAUCCAAGUGGAGGGAUAAGAUUCGAUCCAAAUAGCUAUAUAUAGUAAGAAAGAUCCUCCCGAGAAAGGGAUCAAGAGAUAGAAGAAGGAAAAAAUAAAAAAGGGAGAGAGGAAUUAAAAACUGUGUAACCAAGAAGUGUAUAAUCCAAAGAACUAUUUCUCCUUGGUCAGCCUAAGGAAGAACUAGAAAAAGAAUCUUUGUUUUUCUUUCUAUUAUUCUCUACUUUAACUACUGUCUAAGCCAUUUUCCUUCCUUUAAAUCACCAAGUAAAGCUACGGAGGCUUGACAGGUUGGCCUUGAUAAUCCACCUCUACAAAUUAACUGUAUUGAGCCUCCACCUCAGCCCAUCCCUAUCUGGAUCAGGCUUGAUAAUUGGCAUCGCCCCCUACAAAUAUGAAUUAUACCCUUUAAAAAUAAUUUCUUCAUGAUUCAAUAGUGAAGGUGUCUAUUCAUUAGUACUACUAGUUUAGCAUUUUAUUAUCUUUAUAUUUUUUAGAGAGAAAUAUUAAUGUGAAGCAAUGAUAUAUGACGUAUAAAUUUCAUUUUUUAAGCCUUCUCAAAAAAAUUUCAUUUUUUAGGUUUAUAUUUGGUGUAUAUGAUAUUAUAUACUUAUAUUCCUAUUAUAGUGUUCUAAAAAAAUUAUAUUAAACAAGUUUAUGGAUCAUUGAAAGUGAAGGUAAUAAAUUAGUUAUCAUAAUGAUUAUUAUUUAUUAGCUAAUCAAUCAUCUAAGCACAACCAUUUAGUCGUAAGUUGACAUUUAGUGGUAUUUGUUUCCCUAGUUUAGACCUAGUACAUUAUCAUCAUUAAAUGUAAGUUUAAAUUUGUUAUAAAAUUUAUUCAUUUCAAAUAUAGAUAGCAGCAAUCUCUAACUACAAACCAUCUAGAACUCUUAAAAAAAAUUAUUUGAGAAAAGAUUCAAUCACUCAUUAAAAACUUCCUAAUAGAAAUGUGAACUUAAAUUUGAAUUUAAGAGCUUAAUUUCAAUGGAAAGAACUUAUCUUUAGUCACCUCAUUAAAUCGUCUGCAUUUUGCAAAUUGAUUUUCUUGAUUCAAAUUUAAAAUCCAAACAUUGCCUAACCCAAUUCUAUUUGGAAUCACAAAAUAAAAAUUACCAUUUUUAGACUUUGCACAUGUCAACAUUUAAAAAUUACCAUUAUUAGACAAGUGGUACACAUAUAAAUGCAAAAAGCAUAUGAGUUACAAUUUUUUUUUUUUUUUUUUUGGGUGGGAGGGCAAAACAAAACUGCACCGCAAUAUGAGUUACACUUGACACCCUUUCAAAUAUUUUUUUAUAAACCUUAACCCAAAAAAAAAAACGACCCGUAGAGCCGACCCAAGACCCAGCCCCCGUGAAUUCUGGUGAACAGUUUUUUGGGCCACUAUUAUCGGCCGGUUUUGGGUCAGGAAUAAACCCGACCCGAACUGUCCCACUCUUAGACCUAGCUGGUCCGGCUCCCCUCCUGUUAAAACCCCUCCAAUUUUCUCCAGUUUUAAUUUUGAUAAAUGACACCUGGCAAGUAAAAGGAUCCAACGGUUAAAAAUAAAUCUCAUCUUCUUUACCUCUAUCCUUCUCUUGCUUUUUUCUGCAACAUCACCGGCAGUACGAGAGAAGCCCAGGCAAUCUUCUCAGUUCUCACAAUACCGCCUCCGCCAGAGCAUGAGAAAAUCUCAUUAAGGUCACCAAUGCCAUAAACCACGAAUUUUCAAAUCUCAUUGCACAGAGUGCUAAGAAGAAGAAGAAGAAGAAUUGGUAACCAUAAGGCUGUAAUGGCGAAACCCAUUACUUCCAAUAUAAAAUUCAAUACAAAAGGGCCUCUGUGACUUGCUAGCUUGUUGACUUGCUUUCGUUUUUUAACCGUUGGAUCAUUUGCUUGCCAGGUGUCAUUUAUCGAAAUAAAAACUGGAGAAAAAAAAUGGUGGGGGUUUAAGCGGAGAUAAGAAUAUCAUUCUCAACGCAAACAGAGCCCUUUCUUUUCUGUAAAAAAAAAAAAGAUGGCUAUCUCACUCGCUCACGCCACUCUCUUCUCCAGAACCUCACUCUUUCUCUCUAGAAAUAGCAGAAGCCUCACCUUCUGCAUUCCUUUCUCUACUUCUUCUUCUUCUGCUGCUGCUGCUUCUUCUUCUCUUCCUUCUGAUAAGCUUCACCGCAACAAAUGGAGGUCACCGGUGGCCUCUGUGCUCGAACUUGGCGGAGUCAAGAUUGGUCGAGAAGGUAACUUGGAUACCCAAUUGAAAUUUUUUUCUUAAUUUUAUCAUCUGGGUUGGUCCCCUUUUUUUCCUGUUUAGUUGUAAUACUGUUUUGAAUUGCCGUGUCACUGAAAUUAUUGUAGCUAUUUUUGCAUUCCAACAAUUGGGUUGGUCCAAAAAUUUGAACUUGUUUGCUUAAAUUAUGAUGGGUAUUUUUUGCAUUUGCAAUUUCUGUACUGGUUGGUCUGGUUUCUGGGUUCUGUUGUGCUUUCUCAUUAUGCUGUAUUUUUUUAUUUAUGUACUUUGUGAGCAAUUUUACUACCUGGGUUGGUUUUAUUUUCAUCUUUUUUUACUGUUAUGGGAUUGACAUUGGCCAUUGCAGUCUGGGGCAUUGAAUUUUUCUAGUUUUGUUGUUCCUUACUGUUGUCAAUAUCCAUGAAUUUAAGAGUCAUUACCGGGUUUGCUGAGUUUCUUUAUUUGCUUUCCUGUUUAGUAUUUGCAAUUUGGGGUUUGUAAAGACACUCAAGAACAUUGUACCCAUAAAAAUUUCAAAUACGAAAUUCUGUGACUGUUGUGUUAGUUUGAGUUUUUGAGAGACUGGAUUUCUGUGGAUUGCUUGCCUGGUUAACAAUAUUGGAAAUGCAAGUUCUUCAAAAAUUAGACUUCAAUUUUAAAUCAUUUUAUCUGUUAUACUGUGCCGGGCUUUCGUUUCUAGGAUUGUGGGGCAUAUUUAAUCGCCUGACAACCAAUUCCUGAGUGCAAACAAGUUCAAACCUAUUAAAUUUUAACGUCAGUAUACUGUUUCAGUUAUCUAUGCCUAUAUACAACAUAGUUUCAUAUAUUGGGAUAAUGGAUUUGUAGAUGUGAUGAGGGAUGACCCUACAAACAAUGUCCCGGAUACAAUCUUCUCAAAACUUGGAAUGCAACUUCAUAGGAGGGAUCAGCACCCGAUUGGGAUUCUGAAGAAUGCUAUAUAUGAGUACUUUGACACCAGUUAUCCUAACAAGUUUGAUAAAUUCGAUGAUCUCUGUCCAAUUGUAACCGUGAAACAGGUAUUGGUGCAAGUUUGUAUCAUUAUUCUUGACAAAUUGCAUGUUCAUGUCCUUAUGAUGCCUUUCUCUCUCUUUAACUAGUUUUGCUCAUAUGAUGGCUAGAUGUAUUUGUUGCACAUGCAACUAUUUAUUGUCAUGGUAAAUUAUAUAGUUUGUAUGCCACUUGUGUUAGACAAGGAUGAAAUUAUUUUCUAAACUUCUAAUAGCCCUCAAGGUUGGAUUUAUGGUUUCCAAAAGCAUACCAUAACAUUCAAAAUGAAGCUCUUGAUCACAUGGUCAAAUUUAAAGUCAGCUUUAUUAACUAUAGAAAUAAUCUAAGAUUAUUUUACUAACAUUGACUACAUAAUUACACAGCCAUCUCUGUUCUAUCUUAAUAUUUGGUAGAAUCAGCAGAACUUAAAUUUUCAGUGGAAGCCAUUCAAAUUCUAGGAUUUGAAAUUUCUAAAUUCUGAUUUCAUUUUUUUUAUUUUAUUGUAUAUAAUUAUUUUGUUUGUUAUCAUGACUGCAUCUUCUUUGCAUGUUUUAUGCUUUGCCUCUCUCUCUCACUUCAUAUCUUUACUAAGACUACAAUUACAGAUACAUGUUUAUUGUGAGUAUUUUGAAUUGUUUUGCACUUUCCCCUUUGUUUUGUCUAUUUUUGUAAUUGUAAGUACUUAUAAUAAAAAAAAUUGUAAUUGUAAGUGUACUUCUUGCAGAAUUUUGAUGAUGUCUUGGUUCCUGCUGAUCAUGUAAGCAGGAGUUAUAAUGAUACAUACUAUAUUGAUGCUCAAACUGUUUUGAGGUGUCAUACAAGUGCUCAUCAGGCGGAGUUAUUGAGAAGAGGACACACUCAUUUUCUUGUUACAGGAGAUGUAUACCGCAGGGAUUCCAUAGACUCGACUCAUUACCCUGUGUUUCAUCAGGUUUCUCCUCUGAUUCUAACAAACAGAAUUAUAUCUUGAUUACCUUCUUGAAGUUUCUUCUUUCAUUUUGUUUGAUGAAUCUGUUUCAUUAAUAUAUAGAUGGAAGGUGUACGUGUGUUUUCACCAGAUGAUUGGGAGGCAUCUGGUGUAGAUGCCACAUCUCAUGCAGCUGAGGACUUGAAGAAAUGUCUUGAGGGCUUGGCAAAUCACCUAUUUGGUAAACUUAGAACCAAAACCUUGCUGAGCAAAUGCACUCUAGUAACCAGAAAAUAUUCUGAGUUGUGGAAAUGUUGAAUGAACUUGUCAGGAAAAAGCUGUAAAUUUUAGGUGGGAAAAAAAAAAGCAUUAAUUUACUUUUGGGAGCUAAAUUAAGAUGAUACAGGGAAACUGAAAGGUGGGGACUAUUUUGCAUUCCCAAAAGAACAGAAUACAGAUCACCUAAUAUGGUUUUAUUAGUUUUAAUUUAUUAAAAUUCUAUUAUUUUUCAUGGUCUUGUUCUUAGGCUUUUUUUUCUGCUUACUUUCUCAAAUAUGGAUAUAUAUAUAUAUAUAUAUGAAUGGUAUGACUUUAAAUUUGCUAAAAUUAUCAGGUGCUGUGGAAAUGCGCUGGAUUGAUACUUAUUUUCCAUUCACCAAUCCAUCAUUUGAACUUGAGAUAUAUUUUCAGGUGGCCAUUUAUCUUGUUAUAUAUAUGUAGCGUUGCAUGUAUACAUAAUACCUUUCUUCAACCUUAUACUGCCUUCUAUGAAAAACUCUGCUCAUUUCCUUUUUUCAUUUGAAGCUGCAUGUAAUUCAUUAUUUCAAUGCCCAAUAUGAUGUCAGGAGAAAUGGUUGGAGGUUCUGGGUUGUGGUGUGACAGAGCAAGAAAUAUUAAAGAGAAGUGGCAAAACGAAUAAUGUUGCCUGGGCAUUUGGUCUUGGAUUAGAGCGGUUAGCAAUGGUUCUUUUUGACAUACCAGAUAUUCGGCUUUUCUGGUCAAACGAUGAGCGAUUUACCUCACAGGUCAUUCCUGAGUUUAUCAAGUGAUAAUUCUUUAUUAUUUUCUUCUCCUCUGCUGGACUAUUUGUGUGUGAAAUUGAGUCUUCUUUAGAAUUUGAAUUAUUGUUAUGCCAAAAUUUACAUCCUUGGUUUCAUCACAUAAUCUAGUGGACCUGAAUAUCUGAUCUACAGUGUUUUGUAUAACAGUUUUCCAAGGGUCAGCUGGGAGUCAAAUUCAAGCCAUUUUCAAAGGUAUUAUUAACAUUUUCUGCCUUCUAAAAUAUAAGUAAAAUUUUUCCAUAGAAAUUUCAUUGUUGUAAAGGAAUGAUGUUGCACUAUGUAUUUUUAUGUUGUUAUGCCUUGUACAUUUUGUUUAUAAAAUUCUUUCUUUGAAUAAAUUUAACUUAUUUACAUGACAAAAGAACCAAAAGAAAACCCUUUGUUACAAGGUUUUGUUUUGUUUUGUUUUUUUGUUUUUAUCUUUUAAGGAUUGGUAUGUGCCCCCUUUUUUUAUGAUUAUCUUCACAUAAUGGGCUUCUCAGCCUUCUUUAUAUACAUAAUAAAAUUUUAUUUAUCAUGUGGGGCAGUGUUUGUUGCACACCUGUGUGUCUGUACGCACAGGUGUGCAAACAAUUGAAAACGUGAGUUGAAGCCACAAUUUCAAGUUUGAAAUAGUGUCUUCAUCUCAUGACUUCAGUUGUUGCACACCUGUGUGUCCGUACACACUGAUGUGCAACAAGUUUUACCCUAUCUCACACAAGUUGUAAAUGCUUGUUUGAAAUUUGAAAUUAUGGUAUUGUGUUGCAGUAUCCUCCUUGUUACAAAGAUAUAAGUUUUUGGAUCAAUGAAUCAUUCACUGAAAACAACUUAUGUGAAGUUGUGAGAGGAAUUGCUGGAGAUCUUGCUGAGGAGGUAUGUUUUUAAAUGUUAUUCCCAACAGAUGCUUUGUUGAACAGUUAACUUUUUUAAUCAUUCACUAGAUUGACCUAUUUAUUCCUGUACUCUGUUAUAUAUAGUAACUUUAUGCAUUGUGAUUUGCCGAUUGAGGGGAGGGUGUGCCUGGAGGCCCUGGACAUUUAGUGGAAAUGAAUACAUUUAAUUAAGUGUUUCUUUUUCUGAUCUUUAUAUAUAAGUUAUGUUGCAGAAAUAAACUGCUUUUGAUUUUAUGUAUCAAUAUCAUUGUUUACAAUCAAUUUUAUAUAUAUAUUUUUUACCUUAUUGCUCCCUUAUAAGCAACAGAUUUGUGCAUUAGUAUGUUGUGAACGACAAAAUAAAAAUAUGUGCAUCUAAUCAUGCUUAGACUAUGUCAACUAGUAGAAAGGGUCAUCAAGUGAUUUCGAAGACUGAGGUAAUGAUUAUGCUUGAUGUGAUCUGAAGCUUGGUUCUGAACUUUUCUGGUUGUAUGUCAAUCGUGUUUUCAUCAUCAUCGUUGUUCUAAGCUUCUUGUUGUUGUUGUUGUUGUUGUUGUUGUUUGCUUGGUAGAAUUUACUGAGAUACUCCAGGGCAUAUGAACUGAGUUCUGACAGUGGCCAUCACCAUAUAUUUAUGGGGGCUGGAGGUGUCAUUUGGCACUUUUUUAACUUCCAAGAAAUGAUUCACCUUUCUCAUACCUUUAGGCAGUUCUAUAAAGUUCUUCCUUGGGUCAGUAGGCUUCAGUACUCAACUUUUGGCAGCAUGGAGUGGUUGAAUAAAUCUCUAGCAGCUUUGUUUAGGGUUUUUAAUUAGUCACUAACACUGGCAAAUGUUUGUUUGGUAGAUGGUGAGAAGUUCAGCAAGGUAUGUUGUCAGUGCAUUGCAAGUCCCUUUGUCAUUAUUGCUACUUAAUAAAUCAUUUUAUGCAUGUGAAGGAUUUGAGAGUGAUUGCUGGAAAUAGAUUAGAGAAUAUCUUUCAUGGUUACCUAUGUGAGGUUUGUCUUUCUUACCAAUGAAGACUUUUGGACCUGAUAUCGUUCAUCUAAAGGCACUUUAAGAAAUUUAUCUUCUCUUUCCUAUCUUUCAUUAAUGCUAACAGCUAAUACUUAAUUUGAGGGGGAAUAUUUGAUCUAUGGGCUCCAGCGUGGUUAAAAUAGGUAACCUACCUAAAAUUGGUGAGAAAGUAUUUAGGUCAAAACAAAUCAUAUAGGAUCGAAUUGAAGGAUUGUAAGAUUUUAUAGACUAUUAUUGGGAUUUAACUUGGACAAUUUGCUGAUGAUACUUCAUAGGGAUAAGUAAGAGGACAUUUCUCUCAGAUGAACCUUACUACGUUUUGAAGCAAUUUCGGGCUUAAAAUUGAAAUUUUGCUAAGAGCGAACUGGUUCCAGUUGAGGAGGUGCAGGCUGUGGUAGAGCUAACACAUGUAGUUGGUUGUAAGGUCAGUAAAUUUAUUGCUUUACGUUUUCUUCUUAGGCUCUGCCUCUUGGUAUGCAUUAUGAGUAAAUUUCCAUGAGAUGUGUUAUUGGAGAAGACAGAAAGAAGGUUGGUGGGAUAUAAAGAAAAUUGUACCUUUCUAAAGGAAAUUAUGAGUGCUCUUUCCUGUCUACCAACCUAUUAUGUCAAUAUUUACCAUGCUUGUAAGUGUUACUAGUAGGCUUGAGAAAUUACAAAGAGAAAUUUUAAGGGGCCUUAGGAAAUAAAGUACCUUUUUGUAAAUUGGGAGACUGUUUGUUCUCCAUUUAGGAAAGCUUGGUGUUUUUAUCAGCUUUAUUGAAAAUGGUUAUGGAAAAAAAAAUGCUAUGAAGAGGGAUCUUCUUUGUGGAAUGGUGGUAGGGGCUGAAUACAGGGAGUGUAUAAUUAGGGAUCUUAUUGCAGUUGCUUUGAGGGUUUUUCUUCAUUUUGGGAUUUAUUUGGUAAUAACGGAGUGGGUGGUGGGUUUAUUGUGGUGUAUGAAAAAUCGUUUUUUAGUAGGCAUGGAAGUAGCAUCUUUUGGAUUGGUAAGUCUGUAAGAGGGAUCCAGAUCCAACAAUCUAAACUGUGAUUCUGUUGGGAUUUUUAUUAUCUAAGUUGUUCCAUAGGAUCAUAAAAUUGUAGGAUUUAAAGAUCUAACUAUGAUCAGCAGAGUAAAAGCAUAGUCCCUUCAUAUUUGACUCAAAGGAUACUCCCAUCAUCCUGGAAGCAAUGUCCUAUGCCAUUUUUCAUUCCGUCCCAAAAUCUUUCUGAAAGUAUAUAGCAUCUUUCUGUUAUUUCUCAUUUUGAGUUAAAGCAAUGGGUCGCAUUGUAGAAUAAUUAGAGCUGAAUAUUUACAUCUCAAGUGCAGUUCCCUUUCAAUGUGGAGAUUUUUUGUAAAGAACUUCAUGCUUGAUUUAACAUGUUUGCAGGCACAUGUACAUACUAUGGAUGUUUUUGUUUCUUCUCAAGCAUGUUACAGCUAUACAUAUUCAUAGCUGCUGCACUUUUAGUGUCAUCACCUUCUAUAACAAGAAUGGGUAAUUCUCAAUUCUUAAUUUUCAUUAUUGGAGGUGAGCCAUGCCAGUUCUACAAGCCCCCAAAUAACAACUGCAAAUACCUUAAAAGUCUUGCUAAGGUUCUUUGAGCUGAUCCAUGUUGAAUGGUUGACCAUGAAAGUGUCAGCAGGAUCAUGGGCAGUUAAAGAUUAUUUUGUGUAUGGUAUUCUAUGUCCUACUUUUUGAAAUUGCUAAAUAUCAUGAUUUCAUUAGACUUUCAACCUUGUUAUCAAAUGAUACUUCAGAACCUGACUUAAGUUUGGUCUCUUAAGGAGGCAAUCCUAUAUCUCACCAAUGUCUUCUCACCCAAAACUGAAUUUUGCCUAUGAUGCUAGUUUAAAAUUGAACUUUGUGACUCGUAGGUGCUACUGAUAGACAAUUUCACCAACAAGAAGGGAAUGACCAGUCAUUGUUAUAGGAUUGCAUAUCGAUCGAUGGAACGUUCACUCACAGAUGACGAAAUUAAUGAGUUGCAGGUAUUUCAUUUAAUAAGAUUUUGCUGACUUUUCAUUUUGUUGAGUAUGUUUUUGGUGAAGAUGAUUAUUCAUUUCAAAUUUGUUUCUUUAAUUGUGGUAUGCAGUGGAAUGUAAGAGAGCAGGUGCAGAGCAAGCUGAAUGUUGUUCUUCGAUGAGGGUUUCUGGUGCAGUCCGCUAUUAUUUCAUGUAAAGUUCUCUGUACUAUAUUGUUAAUUUACAGUUUUUAUUUUGUUUACUGUGUUUUUAAGUUUUUAUUUUAUUUUAUUUGAUACACAGUUCAAAGCCAGUAA
rnacentral:sRNA from 1 species